GAGGAAAGUCCGGGCUCCAUAGGGCAAGGGUGCCGGGUAAUACCCGGUGAAGGCGACUUCAAGGAAAGUGCAACAGAAAUAAACCGCCUUACAAAGAAGAAUGUAAGGUAAGGAUGGAAAGGCGAGGUAAGAGCUCACCGACCCUCCCGGCAACGGAGGGUGCCAUGUAAACCCCACCUGGAGCAACACCGUGAAAAGGAACACACAGGCGGCCCGCCUGUUCCUAAAGAGGUGGCUAAAGCCUUGUAGCAAUACCAGGCAUAGAUAGAUGAUCGUUCAAGACAGAACCCGGCUUACAGGUCUGCUCGUUUU
rnacentral:RNase_P_RNA from 1 species